AAAAAAAACCAACAUGCGAAAGGCCCCAGAGCUCUGUGAGCGUUCAGCUGAGCAGUCGCGGUGCCAAACCACAGGUGUGCUGGCACGUGGCGAACAAGCAACAGCAUGAAAUGUACCACGAGAUGUGCCUCAUCCUGAAGGAAGACUUGCUCCACUUCGACUUUCAUUAUGAAAGCAGCUUUGCUGCAGUCCCGUGGUGCCAGUGUGGGGUAAGUUCUCAGCAGAGCAUGCUGGAAAGACGGACUGCAGCCCUCAUAUGGACGGAGAAACACGCUGCAGCCCUCUGAGCUCAAGGAGUUGAACCAGCCAAAGCACGGUGGUGGGUCCUUUGAUGUCCAAAGGGCCGAGACAAAGUGGUGCUGCAGCCUCUGUGCUCUCAUUACCGAGCAGCAGGAGAGCAUCCAUGUCGCUGCUUUUCUCACCCUGCAGCAAUUUUGCUUCGUGAAUCCUGUGUUUUCAGACAGUGAUCUACUUGCAGCCUCCGGCAUCCAUCCCUGGAAGUGGCUUAGAGUGCAUUUUACGUUGGGAAAAAAAUUGAUUUGUGCUUCUCUGGCUAAAGAAUCGGCUUCUCUUUAAACAGCUCGAGCUGUGGGAACGCUGCCACGGUGCUCUGGCGGGUGACACAGAAAACUGCUGCAAUGCUACUGCUGUCCUUGCCCAGAAUGCCCGGUAAUCAGCUUGAUGAAGGCUCUAAUUUCCUCAUUUGCAAGUCUACAUUGCUUCACUUUGGCACUGACUUUCUACUGUGGUGUUUGUGCAACUCUUUCCAGAACCCUGAAAGCGCAGUUGCCUUCGACAGCUGCUUCACCCGUGGACCCGGUGAAACUCUCGGGUUGGGCAAUGGCAGGCAGCCGCCUUCCCAAUCGGCACGUUGGAUUGAGUGGGACUAUUUUGGUGCCUCCCUUCCCGGGUGCCACCCGCUCCCAGGUGCCGCACUAGGGAGGUGGUGCCAGUUGCAGCCAUCCUGCAUCCCAAAAUGCCUGGCGGAGCCCUGGGGCACGUGAGAUGUUGACUCUGCUCCAGACUUCACCGUGUCCUGCCUAGCAAAAGGGCUUCUGCGAUGUCCAAGCUCUCCUCAUUAACACAGCCCUGAGAGGAAAAGGAGACGGUGGGGAGCUGCCAAACGCCGGCAGGUCUCUCCAGAGCGCAGGAAGGAGAGGAGGGAAGCUGCCGGGCCACUGGCACCCAGCCUGGAGCACGGGCCGUUGGCGGGCAGGAAUGCAGAUGAGAUGUAAUGGAGUUUGAAAGCACAGGGCACUCUCUGGGAUGCGGGUCCUGUGGGGGAGGGAAAGGCACCCUGUGAAGUCUGGAAACUGGAGCAAACACACUCCGUAGCCCUGCACGUUCCUGCCUCCUUCUGACAAAAUAAAAGAGGCUGCAGGGGAUUCUGCCCUUCAGGUUGCUCAGCUUGAGGAGCUCAGCAAGGAGCCUGAUCCAGUGUCCGUGUCCUGCUUUGCUGCUCCACGGAGGUGAUGGAGCCAGUGCUGCUCGGUGAACCUGAGACUGGGCACACCAGCCCUCAGCAGGCGAAACGUUUCCUACCCAGACAUACCAAAGAUGGCACCGGUUCCCCAAGGUCCCUCCGAAAAGAGCAAACGCAGCGUCGCUGCCGUCCUUUUGAGCAGGGAUGAAUCAGCAGAGGGUGAGUAGCAGAAAGGGGCUGGUGCUGCUGUAGCCUCUCUGCAGGCACAAGCUACGGGAACACAUUCAUCACGUCCUGAGAAUGCACCCCGGAUUUUCUUCUGCUUCCAUUGUUAUUACAGGCUCGUUGGGUUUGAAACAUAGAAAUCAACUGUAUCCAACCAAGCCAGUGUCACGUAGUUGGCAGUUCCUGGCUGCCGGUGGGGGCUACAAGAGGUUUUCCUGGUUUUCGUAGGUGUGAGACCAGCAGAACUGAUGGAGGGUAUGGAAAGCAGUUAGGGUUCACUUUUACUCUGUGUGUUAUUCCCCUUCUUGGCAAAGCCGUAGAACCUGGCAUGCUUACCGCUCAGGUGCUGCCAAAGGUCUUGUCUGAAAUCGUGUCUCAGCAGAGGUGUGACUGGUGCUACCAGUAGAAAAGUGCCACCUAGACUGGAGUGUUCCAGCUGACUUGGACCAGAUAGGAGGUGGCAGGUAGCACAGUUGUCGCUUGCUCUCUGAGGCUGUUUGGAGAUGCUAAUCUCUUUUAUUCAGAGAAGGACCAUGCUUUAAGUGAUGCUGCGCUCCACAUCACGGAGGGCUUCAUUGACUUCAUCAGUCCAUCUCAUCAAGGCUGGAGAAAGAGGAAAACCAUUGGGCCUCCUCCGCAGCUGGUGUUUCCAAGGUGCUCCCAGGAGAGUUGGAUGAAAACUUCACCCAAUGGCCUCCGAAAUGCCAGGGCUGGGUGACGGGGUUGCCGUGAUUGUAUCAUGAGUCUUGCAUUGGCCGCGUGUUUUUCUUGGAGUCAGUUCCUGGAAUCACACAAUUAGGUAGGAACGUGUUCUCUAAUUUUCAAGGAAGAAAGUCCAUUUCGUACUCCCUGUCCCCAAACCUUCACAACUAAAGGGAAGUGAGAAGGUCCUGGGUCAGCUUACCUGGCCGUUUUGAGCUGUUAGUGUUUUGCAGCCAGAUUCAUGGUUUUAAAAAUGGACAGUAGAAGCCUUUCUCCAAUUUCUGCAGCACCCUCGGUAGUCCUUUCCAACACUUCAAGGGCUGAGUAAAUAAAAUCCCAACCGCUCUUUCCCCUCUUUGCUGUGAUCAGAGUAGCUCUUUGUGAAAAUGACCCAUUUUGGGUGCACAAAGCAAGUUCUGCAGGGCUUAAAUGGUUUUGCUGAGAUCAUAGCAGCCUUUGAGGCUCUCAGGCUAUUGGUGUUGCCCACACCUCACGGACUUCAAGGAGAUUCCUGCUGACUGUUAGUUUGUGAAAGCAGAGUUGAGAGCUGAUGAGCUUUAAUGAACCAAAGCCACGCUCAGUGUGGAAAGCUCUGUGGUGGUCUUUAGCCCGUGGGCUUGCUAUGAGGGAGUGGAGCACACCUCUUCCCAAAGUGAAUGGCGAUGGACUGGGUACUGAAGGCUUUCCUGAGCAGCACAGCUGAAAAUCAAGUCUGUUCCUAAACAUGGCUGGGCUGUGGGACUGGUCGGGAGCUCAGCACCCUGGGGCACCCAGCACCCAUCUGCUGUGCUUCGCAGCCCACAGGCUCCGCUAGCAGCAAGGGGGGCAAACAAAGGGGGACAACAGGCAGGCAGUGCUGAGAGGGCAUUUCCUAAACUUCCCCAGACUUGUGCUGCUGAUGGAUUUUUUUUUUUAUUAGUAUUAUUUUUAAUCCACCUAAGUCUCAAAUCCAUCUUAAAAUGGGUUAUUCCAAAAUCUCUGCUUCUUCCCUUCCUUGUUUCAGGGCAUCCUGCGAUGAAAAUCUGGCUUUUCCUAGUUGGAGGCAGAAAAAAAGCCUCAUCUCUUGCUUUGCAGCAGAGUUAAAAGUCAAAAAGGUGAUUUGGAUAAGUCUGUGCCUGGAAAGGUCUCCAGCCUGCCAGUGCAGGAGGCUGUUCCCUGGAGAACCACAGGGCUGGGACGUGCUAAGCUGGUCAUCGGCAGCACCUCCGGCCCUGGCUGUUCCCUGGGUGCGGAAGCAGGAGCAUCCCCACCCCGGGGCUCCAGUGGGUGAGCAAUGGCGUGGCUCACCUCAAAAAGAGCCGGAGCCCCGGGUGCGGGCUCUUACCCAUCUGCCUUCAGGUUAGGUGCUGCUUUUGCAUCUAAAAAAGGAUCCAAGGAAUUUGGGCUCCCUGGAAGGGAGGGGUGAGCUGGAUGGGGAGGAUGCCAGCAAUUACACUGGUGCUGAGCACCUCUCCUUCAUUGUGAUAACCCAAUCAAGCUGGCUUUAGCCCAGGGUAGAAUAACGGUGACUGCGAGCCUAAGCACAGGGAUUUUUGUCUUUUAAUCGCCAGCUGGGCAAAGGCGAGCGGUGGCUGGAUCUCUGUUGCCCACCUUUUGGAGCAGCCCUGCACGGGCCAGGCUGCACCUCUCUCCUUCCUCCUUGGACAGCAAGGAGUGAUAAUCCCUUGCGCAUUUAAUUACAGCCGGUAGGGUUGGAGCAAACCACCUUCUGCCCCGUUUGCAUCAGCCUGGGCUCAUGAUGGAUGCAUCCCACCAGGGUUGUGUCCGAGGGGCUCUGUCCCCCGCAGCCAAGCCACGCUGGGGAGCCCUGUGGCUCUCCGCGAGCAGUGCCGGUGUGGAGGCCCCUGCCUUCUCCCGCCAUGGGUGGCUGGGCUCUGGCAGGCUCGUUUUUCUGGCAUGGCGAGUCCGCCUCAAACACCUAGGUGGGGCCCAGCAGGGCCAAUGGCCUUCCUGGGGACAGAGCCAACAUGCAGCCUCAGAGCCACGGGCACCCCAGUGCCACGGCCCCCUGGCCCUCUGGGGAUGGGGAGGGAGCAAAGGGAUGGAUUUUGGGGUUGUAUCCACCCUGGCCAUGCCCUGGAGCGAUGGGCAACGGGCACCAGUGACGUGGGUGUGUGCGUGAGCCAUGGCACGCGGGGCUGGUGGGACGAAGCGCUGAGCUUUGGGGUGGAGGAGAGCUGCCUUCGCCUUUCCUUGCUUUAUCAAAAUGGUGUCAUUUUAUGCCCUGCGUUCCCUUGCAGAAGGGCAAA